rnacentral:tRNA from 1 species
ACUCUCUUAGUAUAACUAGUACUAUUGACUUCCAAUCAAUAAGAUCCGUAUUAUAACGGAAGAGAGUA